rnacentral:rRNA from 1 species
CGUGCCAGCAGCCGCGGUAAUACGGGGGAUGCAAGCGUUAUCCGGAAUGAUUGGGCGUAAAGCGCCUGUAGGUUGUUUAUUAAGUCCGUUGUUAAAGCCUAGGGCUCAACCCUAGAAAAGCAAUGGAAACUAGUAGACUAGAGUAUGGCAGGGGUAGAGGGAAUUUCUAGUGUAGCGGUGAAAUGCGUAGAUAUUAGAAAGAACACCGGUGGCGAAAGCGCUCUACUGGACCAUUACUGACACUCAGAGGCGAAAGCUAGGGUAGCAAAAGGGAUUAGAUACCCCUGUAGUCCUAGCCGUAAACGAUGGAUACUAGAUGUUGUGCAUUAUGUACAGUAUCGUAGCUAACGCGUUAAGUAUCCCGCCUGGGGAGUACGCUCGCAAGGGUGAAACUCAAAGGAAUUGACGGGGGCCCGCACAAGCGGUGGAGCAUGUGGUUUAAUUCGAUGCAACGCGAAGAACCUUACCAGGGCUUGACAUACUACGAAUUUUCUUGAAAGAGAAAAGUGCCUUCGGGAAUGUAGAUACAGGUGGUGCAUGGCUGUCGUCAGCUCGUGUCGUGAGAUGUUGGGUUAAGUCCCGCAACGAGCGCAACCCUUAUUUUUAGUUACCAAUUCGUUGGGUUCUCUAGAAAGACUGCCGGUGACAAACCGGAGGAAGGUGAGGAUGAUGUCAAGUCAGCAUGCCCCUUAUGUCCUGGGCUACACACGUGCUACAAUGGUUAAGACAAAGAGUUGCGAACUUGUAAAAGUCAGCUAAUCUCGUAAACUUAGCCUAAGUUCAGAUUGUAGGCUGCAACUCGCCUGCAUGAAGUUGGAAUCGCUAGUAAUCGCUGGUCAGCUAUACAGCGGUGAAUCCGUUCCCGGGCCUUGUACACACCGCCCGUC